CAAAUAUGUAUUUCUGAAAUGUCGAAAAAAAAAUUGAAUGUAGAAAUCUAUACCUGUUUAGCUCCCUGUCAGUCAUUGUUAUAAGUUCUGUCCUUUGCACCUGGUAGUAAACAUAGAGAAAACAUAUAGAGAAGGUGAGAAAUGAAACAAUGUCUCUAUCUCACCUCUUUAUUUGCAAUGUUUGUCCUGACCUUGCCUUGUCUGAACUGGAUUAUGAUGUCAUUUGUUAAAUCUUCAAUAUAAAUAUGAAAGAAAAUGUAGCAUCACAUGAAAAAAGGAUGAAAGUUUUAUAAAUCAUGUUCAAUGUUUUAUUCAGUGGUCUAAAUUCCAGAGAAAUGUCAAUUCCCCUUUAAUAUGCUAGAUUCUGCUAAAAUGUCUA